rnacentral:misc_RNA from 1 species
GGCCCAUCUGCUACAGUGACAUUAGUGGAAGUUGUGUAUAAGACUGAAAAGUGGAAAACAGACUUGGAUUACUUGUCAUAUUACUUGUCAUAUGACAUGUGGCACCAUAAUCAAUGACCGAUUUGGAUGAUGAGGAAACAAGAAAAGUUUUGGAUUUUCGAUCUUCCAUCUGCCUGUUCUUCCUCCAAUCGAAUGACAAUUUUUGAGGUGAGAUACAACUAUCAAACUUUUCCUUAAAGGAGCUAGCCAAUUACUCGAAGUUCUUGAUCAAUCCCAUUAGGAGUCUUUAGUACCACUUCUAAGCUAACCCUUUCAAAGUUGUUGGGAACACUCUGCACAGGAUAUAGUUG